rnacentral:rRNA from 1 species
UACGGAGGGUGCAAGCGUUGUUCGGAAUCACUGGGCGUAAAGCGCGUGUAGGCGGCCUUCUAAGUCUGGUGUGAAAGCCCGGGGCUUACCCCCGGAAGUGCACUGGAUACUGGAAGACUAGAGUACCGGAGAGGAGGGUGGAAUUCCUGGUGUAGCGGUGAAAUGCGUAGAUAUCAGGAAGAACACCGGUGGCGAAGGCGGCCCUCUGGACGGAUACUGACGCUGAGACGCGAAAGCGUGGGGAGCAAACAGG